AGUGAACGCUGGCGGUAGGCCUAACACAUGCAAGUCGAACGGCAGCACAGUAAGAGCUUGCUCUUACGGGUGGCGAGUGGCGGACGGGUGAGGAAUACAUCGGAAUCUACCUUUUCGUGGGGGAUAACGUAGGGAAACUUACGCUAAUACCGCAUACGACCUACGGGUGAAAGCAGGGGAUCUUCGGACCUUGCGCGAUUGAAUGAGCCGAUGUCGGAUUAGCUAGUUGGCGGGGUAAAGGCCCACCAAGGCGACGAUCCGUAGCUGGUCUGAGAGGAUGAUCAGCCACACUGGAACUGAGACACGGUCCAGACUCCUACGGGAGGCAGCAGUGGGGAAUAUUUGACAAUGGGCGCAAGCCUGAUCCAGCCAUACCGCGUGGGUGAAGAAGGCCUUCGGGUUGUAAAGCCCUUUUGUUGGGAAAGAAAAGCAGCAGGUUAAUACCCCGCUGUUCUGACGGUACCCAAAGAAUAAGCACCGGCUAACUUCGU
rnacentral:rRNA from 1 species